GUACAGCGACCCUAAAAGCAACAGAAUGGAACCAGCAGUGUUAUACGAGGAGGAGGACCUGGAUGGCCGGGAUGCAUUAAGGAAAGGCAUCUGGUACCAGGCCCUGGAUAAUGUACAAUACCAGCGGGGUGAGAGUCUCCCCAGUGAAGAGCAGCGAUUGCAGAAGCAAGUGGCCCUGCGUAUGCCCUUCCUGGGAGAGCAGCCCCUGGAGGAAUGGGUGAAGGAACUAGAGCACCGGGUAUGGCAGGAGCUAUGGCUGGAGGAUGCCUACCAGGCGCUCUGGUGGUAUAUGGCACAGUAUAUACCCUGGACAGCUGAGCAUGACAAGCCAGAGGGAGAGAAGUUUGAUGGUCCUGGCUUGUUAUGGGAGUCCUUUGCAGAGC